ACCUUUUCAUUUUGACUGUUCACCGCAAAAAAAAAAAAAACAAGAGAGAGAGAGAGAGUAAAGAUGAUGAUCUUCACCAAAGAGGCGACAAACCUCACGGACCUCCGCCGAUGGCCCUUCAAGCUUUGGUGAUUCUUGAGGUAAUCCCUUCGUCUUCGAUCUACAACAUAUGAGCUUCAACGACAACUUAUAUAAACUUUGACAAUGGUUUCUUCACCGAGAAAACUCAUGGAGCUCCGGCACUAACAAUACAACUUCAGAUCGUGAUUCCGAUCUUUUCUUCGCCAUCGAUAUGUGCAAGAAAAAAGCUAUGGCGUACACACAAGAUCAGAUUUACUCUCUCCUCCAAGAACGACAAAUACAAUAGAAAGUUCCAUCAUGUUUGAGAUUGGAGGAUUAUCCCAAGGAGCGCAACACAAGGUGGAUAAUCUCAUGAAAGAGCAUUUCAGAUUGAUGAAGGAAGUAUGGAACGUGUGUCUCAAACAACAUCAACAAAUGCAAGAGUAUCUUCUGCAUGAAAGAAAUUAAUGGAAGUGUUUCAUGUCUGAAAUACCACUUGGUUGGAGGUAACACAAGUGUCAAGAUGUGUCCUAAUUGUCAAGAGCAUGUGAAGGUUGAGCUGCAAAACUAUGCAAUCAAAAAAGCUGAGGAAAUGGCAGCUCAGAGUUUGUGUCUUGAUCCUUGAUAAUAUCGAUGGUCAGGAAGAUGUGGAAGUUGAGCCUAAACAGAAAGCUAGCCCUUAACAAGAGGAAGAAGAGAGGUCUAUUGAACAUAUAUGUCACCUCAACUCCUCCUGGCAUUAUGAAAGGAAGGAAAGACAUGAUGCGUGUGUUUGGAGUUUGUGACAAAGAGCUAAGAGAAAAGGUUUGUGCUGGAAUAGCGAGAUGGUUCUAUGAUGCAUGCAUUUUGUUUAAUGAUGUCAUCUAUGACUCAUUCAAAGAGAUGACAGAUUUGAUUGGGCAGUAUGGAAUGAGUUUAAAGAUAUCUAUUAUGCUUGAGCUAAGAGUCUCUCUUUUUCAGAAGGAAGUGGCCAACACUCCCAUUAUGCUUUUUCAACGCAAAAAUGAGUGGGCUGCCAAAAGGUGUUCUAUAAUGUCAAAUGGAGGUCGUGACUCUGUGGUCCAGAAGGACAUAGUUAACUUUCUAGUUAACUCUCAUAAAGACUUUGUUUUCAUAAAUUCUAAGGAAGUCUCAAAAGUUGUGAAAAAUGCAACAAUGCUGUUCAAACUGCUUGAUGAGAUGGUUGAAGAUGUUGGUGAGAAGAAUGUGGUUCAAGUGAUAACAGACAAUGCAUCUAAUUAUGUGAAAACAACAAUUGUCUAUCUACGGGCCUCUUUGUGCAGCACAUUAUAAAAAAAUUUGAUGUAAUUAAAAACAAUUUGAAUUGCAGGAAAAUUGCUUGAGGCCAAACAGCCAAACCUUUAUUGGACUCCUUGUGCAUCACAUUAUCUUGAUCUUAUACUAGAAGACAUUGGUAAGUUGGAGCCAGUGAAAAUGCAUUAAAGAAGUGUAUCUUCAUGAAUAGUUACAUUUAUUGUCGUGUGCCAUUUGUGAACAUGAUGAGGAGAUUCACCAAUCAACGCAAUCUCCAUUGCCCAGCUGUAACAAGGUUUGCCACUUCAUUCAUCACCAUGUCUCAGUUUCACAUUAAACAGUCAAACCUGAAGAAAAUGGUCACAUUUGAUGAUUGGAACAAGACCAAAUGACCAAGGGAAGAAGGGGUAAAGAAAUUGAAGCAAUACAUUCUUCAAGAAAGCUUCUAGAGGAACAUUAGCUAUGCACUCAAGCUGACUGGUCCACUAGUAAAGGUUUUUAUGAUGGUAGAUGGAGAAAAGAAACCGGCUAUGGGGUACAUAUAUGCUACUAUGGACAAAGGUAGAAAGGCUAUUGCAAUGAGUUUCAAGAUGAAGCAAGAAAAAUAUGAGAAUGUGUUUGAGAUCAUUGAUAAAAGGUGGAAUUAUUAGCUUCAUCAGCCUUUUCACGCAGUUUGAUACUUCCUCAAUCGAGCUAUCCAUUACGCCAAUCCAGAAGACAUUUUCUGUGAGGAAGUUGAGUAUGGUUUGUACAAUUAUAUCAAUAGACUGGUCCCGGAUAGUGAGGUUCAAGAUAAGGUGAUGUUGGAGCUUGAUUUGUUUAAAAAAGCAACUGGUCUCUUUGGCCAUAACAUGGAAAUAAGACAAAGAGAAAUGAAAGCGCUAGCUGAUUGGUGGUCUACUUAUAGAUCUCCAGCUCUUAAUUUAAGAGACUUUGCUGUGAAAGUAUUUAUUUUAACUUACAAUGCAUCCGGAUGUGAAAGAAAUUGAAGUGUUUUUGAGCUUGUGUGUUUGUUAUAUGCAUUUUAUUUCGUAGCCAGUCAGAUUGUUUUCUAAGUUCACUAAUGUUUUAUUUUUCCAUUUUUUAUAGCUUCACACAAAGAGAAGAAACAGUCUAGCUCAACAUUGCCUGAAUGACAAGGUGUUUGUGAAGUACAACAGAGCCUUGAAACUUCGUAUGAAGAGAAGUGAUAUCAUGAAUCAUAUUCUUGUAGAAGAGAUUGAUGAAAGUAAUGAAUGGUUGAUGGGAAAAAUGAAAGAGAACUCUCACAAUAAUUAUCUUUGACAAUAAAAUAGAUAGAUUUUGUUCGGAUAUGUGGAUGACAGAUAUCAGAAUGGCUACAUAUCAGAUA